AAAAUAAAUAAAUAAUAAAUAAAUAAAAUAAUAACCAUAAUUAUUUCCCUUCCUAUAUCCGCAUCCCUUUGCAGUGUGAGUUUGCAGGUAUUCCCAUUAAGAGAUAAAGUCUAUUUCACCAUCCUUUGAAUCUGGAAUGGCUAAUACAAUGUGCUAGAAGCUAUAUUGCCCAUUCUGAUCUAGUCCUUAGAAAACUUGUACAUUCCCUACUCUCUUAGUCCAUUUGGGCUGCUAUAACAGAAUACCAUUGACUAGGUGGCUCAAACAACAAACAUUUGUUUCUCACAGUUGGUCAAGGCCUUGGCAGACUCAGUGUCUGAUUAUAGUUCACUUCCUAAUUCAUAGACAGGCAUUUUCUCUCUGUGUCCUCCUGUAGUGGAAGGGAUCUCUUUUAUAAGGGCAUUAAUCUUAUUCAUGAAGGCUCUGCCUUUGUGACCUAAUCACAUUCCAAAGGCCUCAUCUGCUAGUAUCAUCACACUGGGAGGUAGCGUUUCACCAUAUUGAAUUUGGGGAAGGAUGCAGUCAGUCUAUAGCAUCUGCUUCCCUCUCAGAAGCCCGUUGCUGUCACAUGGACAAGCAAGCAAGAAGGAAGAUGAAAGACACAUGGCCCAGUCAACACUCCCUACUGACUAUACAGCUAACCUCCAGAAGCAGAGCCACCUACCUGGCCUGCAGGGCCCACGGAAGGAAGACCCACGGAGACCCACAGGUGAAGUAUAUUGAAUGGAAUUACAACUUUCAGAGGAAAGAGCCAGAUUAUAAAAGGAAAUCCCUGGAUCCCAAAGCUAGAAAGAGCUCUCUCUUUCCCAAACACAGAUGA
rnacentral:lncRNA from 1 species